CACACCGCCCGUCACACCAUGGGAGUGGGUUCUACCUUAAGCAGCUGCGCUAAUCCGGCAGGCUGCCACGGUAGGAUUCAUGACUGGGGUG
rnacentral:rRNA from 1 species